AGAAGCCGAAGAAACCCUGACAAUGAACCUUCACACACUAACAUCAAAAGGCCCAAGCGGGCAGAAGUUAACUUUCUGCCAAACUUUCCCCAAGGAGAAGAUUCCUCAAGUCUCGAACAUUUGAGGGAUCUUAUUGUUGACGAAGUAAAGAAGACUGAGAGAAACCUUCCUCUCAUUAGUAAGAUGAUGCAGACCACAUUCGCCUUGCGGCGACAGACAAUAGUGAUGUCCUGCCCACCAGUGAAACAGCUCUUGGACCUGUGUGUUCUGCCCCUUAUCCUCUUCUUAAUUGUAGGUGUUUGCAGAGUUCCAGCGGAUAACUAACCAGAACCUGUCUAACACAUUCUAUGCCGAACUUGAUCGCCACACUCCUCGUUUAAUGGCUUUAUUCCGACAAAAGGCUUCUAGAACUGGAAAGAAUGCAGAUGCUUUGGCUGAAAUUUUCAAAGUCCAUGAUGAACAGGUAUUACAUGAUAUCCACUCAAGGCGUACCACUGUUCUCCAUGCCCUUCCUGUGUAUCUGCUUGAAGAUACCUCCGGAUUUUUCCAAACAUGUGUGGAUGGUUUGGAUGAGCCAGGUUUUGGGGAUGCGUCAGUUGCUCUCCUUACAACAAUCAGCGACAAUUCAAUGAGUCGAGUUCACUACCAACCAGAGAAAAUCUCAGUUGUCCUAGAGGGUGAAGUGGUGGCCACCCUCCCGAGACUCGCUGAUGCCUUUCUGGUAAUGUUCGGCCUUACCUAUGCGCUACAUCUCAGCUAUCCCAAAGGACUGACCAACACCUACGAAUUUGCUCAGAAAAUUUGACUUGGUCUGGAAGAAUGUAAAUUGUCACCCAGACUGCAGUCGCUGAAGAAUGACUUGAUGGGACAUGUGUAGAACUGGAAGAUCUGAAAAGCAAUAAUGGAAUAAUCUGGCUCAUUCAUUUAAGAGCCUAAUCCAUAACAAAAAUAUGUUACUGUCUGUGUUAGCUGUUGUUCAACUAUUAAUGUUAAAAUUGCUGCUCUAUAAGCUGUCAAGCACUUGUUGCUACCUCACUGGUUUGCAGCCAGAUGGCACAGCGUGUGCAUAUGCAAUUUUUGUGUUUACUUUAAUUGUUAACUCUUCUUUUUGAUAUUGAAAUAUUUUUGUCCCAGUUUGUGAUGAAAAUGCAGAGCAUGAACGAAAAACAUGCUGAUGCCUUCUUGGUUACUUUUGGCCUCAUCUAUGUACCUCACAUUUCAGAUAUUCCAAAGAAUUGACCAAGACAAUUGAGUGCCUUAAAGAAUAGAGGACUCUGGAGUCUCACUGUUAAGAGCCACAACAUAAAAAUGUAAAUUGUCUGUGUUGAUUGAACUGUUCUACUGUUGAUGUUCAAAUUGCUGCUGUACUCUAGGUUUUUAGCCACCUUGCACAAAUUACACACUGACUUUGUAAUUUUACAUUUUAAAAUGAAACAUUGCCAUUUUUACGUAGAUGU